GACGAACGCUGGCGGCGUGCCUAAUACAUGCAAGUUGAGCGCUGAAGGUUGGUACUUGUACCAACUGGAUGAGCAGCGAACGGGUGAGUAACGCGUGGGGAAUCUGCCUUUGAGCGGGGGACAGCAUUUGGAAACGAAUGCUAAUACCGCAUAAAAACUUUAAACACAAGUUUUAAGUUUGAAAGAUGCAAUUGCAUCACUCAAAGAUGAUCCCGCGUUGUAUUAGCUAGUUGGUGAGGUAAAGGCUCACCAAGGCGAUGAUACAUAGCCGACCUGAGAGGGUGAUCGGCCACAUUGGGACUGAGACACGGCCCAAACUCCUACGGGAGGCAGCAGUAGGGAAUCUUCGGCAAUGGACGAAAGUCUGACCGAGCAACGCCGCGUGAGUGAAGAAGGUUUUCGGAUCGUAAAACUCUGUUGGUAGAGAAGAACGUUGGUGAGAGUGGAAAGCUCAUCAAGUGACGGUAACUACACAGAAAGGGACGGCUAACUACGUG
rnacentral:rRNA from 1 species